GUCGCCAUUGCAAGUGGAUGUUUCCCAUCGUAAGCAAGGAAUGAACACCAAGCCGUUGCAUUGGUUUCUAGAAGAAACAUUUACAAGAAGCUGCUGCUUCAGCGAAACCAACUCGCUGGUUGCCAAAGUCGAAGACAGUGUGGUAUUUACCCAUGAAUACAUCUCCCAUUAUCCUGUUCCAUACGACAAGAGACGGUAUAUAAUCAAAUACAUAUUUUGUUUUCUUGAGUU